GAUGAACGCUAGCUACAGGCUUAACACAUGCAAGUCGAGGGGUAACAAGAGAAAAGCUUGCUUUUCUUGUUGACGACCGGCGCACGGGUGAGUAACGCGUAUCCAACCUGCCUAUAACUAGGGAAUAACCUUGCGAAAGUAAGACUAAUACCCUAUGAUUUCCUUUGAUGACAUCAGAUUAGGAAUAAAGAUUUAUCGGUUAUAGAUGGGGAUGCGUCUGAUUAGCUUGUUGGCGGGGUAACGGCCCACCAAGGCAACGAUCAGUAGGGGUUCUGAGAGGAAGGUCCCCCACAUUGGAACUGAGACACGGUCCAAACUCCUACGGGAGGCAGCAGUGAGGAAUAUUGGUCAAUGGGCGGAAGCCUGAACCAGCCAAGUAGCGUGCAGGAUGACGGCCCUAUGGGUUGUAAACUGCUUUUAUACAGGAAUAAAGUUAGCCACGUGUGGUUAUUUGUAGGUACUGUAUGAAUAAGGACCGGCUAAUUCCGUGCCAGCCGCCGCAGUAAUAC
rnacentral:rRNA from 1 species